CAAACUUUAACUCAAAGUGGGUAUUAUUAUUUACAUUAAUAAUUAUUUAUGUGCGAUUCAUAUAGGUUUGA
rnacentral:tRNA from 1 species